rnacentral:rRNA from 1 species
AUUGACGGUCGCGCACCGCGUGGCGUUGUGUGGCGUGCUUGGCUGGAGGUUUAGGGCCUAAGGGGUCCCCAGGUAGGCGCUUUUCUGGGGUGUCGGCCCUCCCUCCUCGGGUAGGGCAGGGCUUGGUUAGUGUGGGGAGCCGCCGCCGCGCCUGGCGGCGCGGCCGGUACCGCCUGCGGCAGUUCGUCGGCGAGGAGGUGGUGGUCGGGAUGGGGAUGCGCAUGGGCAGAAUGCGGCGCAGCCGGAGCAGGGGGCGCGAGGGGAGGCACGGGGUGAGGCCCUGGCGGUGGGGGUGGGGGCCCCCGCCCCCGCCCCCGCGCCGGAGGAGGAAGCGGCCCCCGGCGGUGCCGGAGGCACGUCUGCGAGCUCCAGCUGUUCCGGUGGUACUACGCGGCGACGCUCGAGGGGCGGGCGCUGGAGGCGGAGGAGCUGGGCGAGAAGCAGAUGGGGAGGUGGCAGGAGCCGGCCCUCGCGCGGUAGCAGCAGUUGGAGCUCGUCUAGGCGACGCAGUAGUGGCGGCUGCUCCACGAGGAGGAAUUGAGGGAGCUGUCGAUGCAGAAGGUCAUGCGGCGGCUCGACGUCGCGGCGGAGGAGGUCGCGCGGCUCCCGCUGCUCGAGGGGAAGCUCAAGGCGCGGGAGCUCGAGCGGGAGCUCCGGCGGACGAGGAAGGAGCUGCGGGUCCGUCGUCUUAACCUUUAACUUCGUAUAGGGAAUGACCUACUCGAUUGUAGUUUUUAAUCAUGAGAUUUAGACCUUGCACAAGCCGCCGAUUUUUCAUCUGAUCAACGAGACUGGUCUUCUCAGGUCUUCCAGUCCCUACUUUAUCUUGUUGACUACCUACUACUACCUCUAUACCGACUCUACAUAGAGUGGCUCUUUUUCUACUCCUACCUUAGUAGUAGACACAAACCACUAGUCAGCAACCGCUGGAAGUUGCGUCGUCGACGACCCUGAAGUCAAAGUCGAGGGCACAGAGGUCAGAGCAGUGGUUGUCUUAGUGCCUUUAACCUCUUUUGGAUGUCGAACACAUCUUCAUCUGUACUAUCACAUUUCUCGAGUCUAUUGUGUCACUGACUUGUAUAACUCCUCGAACUUUACAAUGAUCUUCGUAUAAAACAUCAGUAGCUGUCGUGAGAAUUGUUCGACUGGAGCGACUUCCUCAUAUAACUACUGUGGCUUCUAAAAUAGUUGUAAGUCGACCUGUUGCACGCCUUAGUCGACUAGGUCAAGCUCGAAAACGAUUGUUGGCGGUGUAAACAGCAGCGGUAAAAGCCUCACCAGCGCCCACAAAAGCCCUACUUGAAGCUCUGGCUGCAAAAGUUGUAGGUCUUGCGCAAGGUCACCCACGACUAGUAAUGACCUCACCAACCGCGAAAGCAGAAGACGAAGAAGCAGACCAAGAAGUUCAUGUUCUCUGACUACGGGGACAUCUAUAUUCGAGGGCAGUAAUACGCCUGAGUUGGAAGAUAAGAGACAAUUCCAUGAACUGGUUUUUCUGGACUUAGGUACAUUUAGUUGUAAAAAAGUCCCCGAACGGCACAUGGAUGAUGUUUUAGUUUACUUUUGUAUAUUAAAAAGGAAUGAGAAGACAUUUACCCAAUAAUAUCUUUAUCAAGAGUUCAGAAUUGGUAGGUAGGAAGGUUUAUAAAA